AGUGAACGCUGGCGGUAGGCCUAACACAUGCAAGUCGAACGGCAGCACAGUAAGAGCUUGCUCUUACGGGUGGCGAGUGGCGGACGGGUGAGGAAUACAUCGGAAUCUACUUUUUCGUGGGGGAUAACGUAGGGAAACUUACGCUAAUACCGCAUACGACCUACGGGUGAAAGCAGGGGAUCUUCGGACCUUGCGCGAUUGAAUGAGCCGAUGUCGGAUUAGCUAGUUGGCGGGGUAAAGGCCCACCAAGGCGACGAUCCGUAGCUGGUCUGAGAGGAUGAUGCGCCACACUGGAACUGAGACACGGUCAAGACUCCUACGGGAGGCAGCAGUGGGGAAUAUUGGAGAAUGGGCGCAAGCCUGAUCCAGCCAUACCGCGUGGGUGAAGAAGGCCUUCGGGUUGUAAAGCCCUUUUGUUGGGAAAGAAAAGCAGCAGGUUAAUACCCCGCUGUUAUGACGGUACCCAAAGAAUAAGCACCGGCUAACUUCGUG
rnacentral:rRNA from 1 species